rnacentral:rRNA from 1 species
UGCGUAGGGUCCGAGCGUUGUCCGGAAUUAUUGGGCGUAAAGAGCUCGUAGGCGGUCUGUUGCGUCGGUUGUGAAAACCUGGGGCUCAACUCCAGGCCUGCAAUCGAUACGGGCAGACUAGAGUUCGGUAGGGGAGACUGGAAUUCCUGGUGUAGCGGUGAAAUGCGCAGAUAUCAGGAGGAACACCGGUGGCGAAGGCGGGUCUCUGGGCCGUAACUGACGCUGAGGAGCGAAAGCAUGGGGAGCGAACAGG